rnacentral:rRNA from 1 species
AUUGAACGCUGGCGGCAGGCUUAACACAUGCAAGUCGAGCGAGCGGCGGACGGGUGAGUAAUGUCUGGGAAACUGCCUGAUGGAGGGGGAUAACUACUGGAAACGGUAGCUAAUACCGCAUACCAUCGGAUGUGCCCAGAUGGGAUUAGCUAGUAGGUGGGGUAAUGGGUCACCUAGGCGACGAUCCCUAGCCGGGCUGAGAGGAUGACCAGGCACACUGGAACUGAGGCACUGUCCAGACGCACACGGGAGGCAGUAGUGGGGAAUAUUGCACAAUGGGCGCAAGCCUGAUGCAGCCAUGCCGCGUGGGUGAAGAAGGCCUUCGGGUUGUAAAGCACUUUCAGCGAGGAGGCGUUACUCGCAGAAGAAGCACCGGCUAACUCCGUGCCAGCAGCCGCGGUAAUUC